rnacentral:rRNA from 1 species
GAUAAACGCUGGCGGCGCACAUAAGACAUGCAAGUCGAACGAACUUAAUACCUUGCUUGCAAGGUAAGCGGUUAGUGGCGGACUGGUGAGUAACACGUAAGAAAUCUGCCUAUCAGAGGGGAAUAACAGUGAGAAAUCACUGCUAAUACCGCAUAUGCCAUAGGAAUCGCAUGAUUCUAGUGGGAAAGGAGCAAUCCGCUGAUAGAUGAGCUUGCGUCUGAUUAGCUAGUUGGUGGGGUAAAGGCCUACCAAGGCGACGAUCAGUAGCCGGACUGAGAGGUUGAACGGCCACAUUGGGACUGAGAUACGGCCCAGACUCCUACGGGAGGCAGCAGUCGGGAAUAUUGCGCAAUGGAGGAAACUCUGACGCAGUGACGCCGCGUAUAGGAAGAAGGUUUUCGGAUUGUAAACUAUUGUCCACAGGGAAGAUAAAAGACUGUACCUGUGAAGAAAGCUCCGGCUAACUACGUGCCAGCAGCCGCGGUAAUACGUAGGGAGCAAGCGUUAUCCGGAAUUAUUGGGUGUAAAGGGUGCGUAGACGGGAUAACAAGUUAGUUGUGAAACCCCCCCGGCUCAACUGAGGAACUGCAACUAAAACUAUUAUUCUUGAGUGCAGGAGAGGAAAGUGGAAUUCCUAGUGUAGCGGUGAAAUGCGUAGAUAUUAGGAAGAACACCGGUGGCGAAGGCGACUUUCUGGACUGUAACUGACGUUGAGGCACGAAAGUGUGGGGAGCAAACAGGAUUAGAUACCCUGGUAGUCCACACUGUAAACGAUGGAUACUAGGUGUAGGAGAUAUUAAAGCUUCUGUGCCGUCGCUAACGCAGUAAGUAUCCCACCUGGGGAGUACGACCGCAAGGUUGAAACUCAAAGGAAUUGACGGGGGCCCGCACAAGCAGUGGAGUAUGUGGUUUAAUUCGAAGCAACGCGAAGAACCUUACCAGGGCUUGACAUACAAGUGAAUGUCUAAGAGAUUAGGCAGUAUUUCGGUACACUUGUACAGGUGGUGCAUGGUUGUCGUCAGCUCGUGUCGUGAGAUGUUAGGUUAAGUCCUGCAACGAGCGCAACCCCUAUACUUAGUUGCCAGCACGUAAAGGUGGGAACUCUAAGUAGACUGCCGGUGAUAAAUCGGAGGAAGGUGGGGACGACGUCAAAUCAUCAUGCCCUUUAUGUCCUGGGCUACACACGUACUACAAUGGCUAUAACAAAGAGAAGCGAGACGGAGACGUUAAGCGAAACCCAAAAAAGUAGUCUCAGUUCGGAUUGAAGGCUGAAAUUCGCCUUCAUGAAGCCGGAAUUGCUAGUAAUGGCAGGUCAGCAUACUGCCGUGAAUACGUUCCCGGGCCUUGUACACACCGCCCGUCACACCAUGAGAGUUGGGAAUACCCGAAGCCUGUGAGCUAACGUAAGAGGCAGCAGUCGAAGGUAGAAUCAAUGAUUGGGGUG